GAAAAGAAAAUUAGUAUUUGCUCUUUACCAAUUACUUUAGCAGCCAUUAUUGGCGUCAUCGAAGGGACUGGAGUUAGUAUCAGAAAGAGAGAAAGAAACCGAUACGGCUAGAAUCAUCGGAGAUGGAAAAUGGAAAAAUGGGGUCCGACAACCGAUAUUUAAUAAGAUUUUUGAUAGGCUUAAUGUUAUUAUUAUUGUCAUGUACAAUCAAAGAGGCAAGUGCAUCGAUUCAUGAGUACAACGACGAAGCGUUUAUUCCACGCUCAAAUGCCUUCUUCUUUCAUGGCGGCAGUGAAGGACUUUAUGCCUCUAAAGUUCAUGAUUCCUCUUCUACUUCUCCUGAUAAGCCCUUUCAAGGAAAGUCUUUCAUCAGGUUUGAAGAUGUCACCUUUGUAAGGACAAAGUUGGCUGCGAGUAAGCAGCCCGCAAUGCAGCAAAGCACUGGAUUGGUGGAAGCUAUUAUAUUUGAGGUGAAAGAUAGAGAAAGGAUUGGAGGGGCUUUUCUAAAAACGAAUGCGAUUUGCUGUGACCCAACUCUUGCUCAAGCUGGGUCCUGUAAGCUAGGCGAGGUAAUUAUCCAGAAAGACCAAGACAAUCAAGAAUGGCCUAAACGCAUUCAGACAUCCUUUGCAGGAAAGGAUGAGGAAGCUAAAAUGAAGCCUGAAACUGUGGAAAUAAAUAGUACUGGAAUGUACUACCUCUAUUUCAUGUUUUGUAAUCCUGAACUUCAGGGCACUUUGAUUAAGGGGAGGACUGUAUGGAAGAACCCUAAUGGUUAUUUACCAGGGAAGAUGACUCCUCUGAUGACAUUUUAUGGCAUUAUGUCUUUGGCUUACCUUGCAUUAGGACUGAUUUGGUUCUUAAGGUUUGUUCAAUUCUGGAAGGAUGUUAUACAGCUGCAUUACCACAUCACAGCUGUUAUAGCACUUGGAAUGUGUGAAAUGGCUGUUUGGUAUUUUGAAUAUGCCAAUUUUAAUUCAACCGGAUCAAGGCCGAUGGGUGUUACAUUAUGGGCUGUGACCUUUAGCACUGUCAAGAAGACUCUAUCUCGCCUUCUCCUGUUGGUUGUCUCCAUGGGCUUUGGCGUAGUAAAGCCAACCCUUGGUGGCAUAACAUCAAAAGUACUUCUUCUUGGUCUGAUAUAUUUUUUGGCCUCAGAGGCACUUCAGCUCGUUGAACAUCUAGGGAACAUCAAUGACUUGUCUAAGAAAACUGAGUUAUUUUUAGUUCUUCCUGUUGCCUUCUUAGAUUCCUGUUUUAUUGUCUGGAUUUUCUCAUCUCUAUCAAAAACUUUAGAGAAGCUUCAGAUGAGGAGAAACAUGGCUAAACUGGACCUGUACCGAAAAUUUACCAAUUCUCUUGCAGUGUCUGUUCUACUCUCCAUUGCCUGGAUUGGCUUUGAGCUAUACUUCAAUGCAACUGACCCACUAAGUGAGCUAUGGCAAGUUGCUUGGAUCAUUCCUGCCUUCUGGACUCUGCUUGCAUACUCACUUCUGGUGGUGAUAUGUGUCCUAUGGGCUCCUUCACGCAACCCAACUAGGUAUGCAUAUUCAGAGGAGAUGGGGGAGGACUUUGAUGAGGAAGGUAUUGCAUUGACAAGCAGUGUCGAUAUUGCGACUAAGCUAGAAAGGAAGGGGCUGGGAGAAGAUCUUGAGGAGGAUAAGCGAGAAUAGAUUCAUAUCACCCUGCACAAAGAAUUCCUGGCUGGAGCAGCAGUAGCAGAACCAGAUCUUUGGCCACUAAAUUACCAGUUAAAAAGAAAGAUAAUGGGUCACCACCACCAUCACCAGCACGGACACAGCCCGUACGACGAUCCGUUAUUGGCGUGUUGUUGUUGCCCUUGCUUCCUUGUGUCUUCUAUUUUCAGAGGAAUUGGCGGAUGCAUAUUCGCUGCUUGUUAUCCUCUUUUGCGUUGCUUUGGAUUUGACGACCACCACCAUCAUCACCACCACCACCACCACUUCCAUUGAUGCUUCUUGGAUUGAUUUAAUUGAAUAUUAUUUAUUGUAUGUCUUUGUUUUAUUUUUUCUGUAACAUCAUUGCUCGAUGAAGGUGGACCAUAGAUUUUUCUUUUUUUAGCAUUGCAUCAUUUGUCAGUGUUGUCGUUUUUGCAUUUAUUCAGUGAGGUCGUUAGAAUCGUCGCUGUCGUAGUACUUAGUGUAGCUAAUGUAAACUCUAUAUUUUCUUCAUUUUAUUAAAAGGCAUUAAUUUAAAAUUUAA